GACUAUAAAUAACCUCGUUUGCUCCCGUCUGGACUACAAUUCCCAGCAGGCAGUGUGGCCAGCCCUCUCUGCCUUCGCACCUGCUGGCGGAGAGGCUUUGUUCACCAGGCUGGAGGAAAGAGAAAGAAAGGAGAGGCGAAAGUUUCCAGCAGUUCAUUCUGGGCUGUAUCAGGCGCAGGGAGGAGGAGGAGGAGGAGAACUUCGGGCACAAGAAGAGGUUAAAGCAGAGCGAACAUGCCAACAGGAACCAGGCCAAGUAAAGCUGCAAAGCCACACAUCGCUGGCAGCCAAGGAAUCUGAGAGCUGACUCACGGACGACACCAGCUCAUUCCCAAGGGGAGAAAGACACCGGAGCCUGCAGAGGGACGAAGACGAAGAGCAGCACGGUGUGGAGCAGAGGUAGAGUCCUGCACCAUUCUCCCUUACCCACGCCUGGUACUGUGUUGCGCACGUGAAAGCUACAUCCUGCCCCCCCCCCCGUGACACCAGCCAAACUGGACACAUCAGCUUUGGAACAGGCACAGCCAGGCCGGAGCCUUCCUGAUAGUAACCAGCCCGUUUUCCUCCUCAGCGAAG